AGUUUGAUCCUGGCUCAGAUUGAACGCUGGCGGCAGGCUUAACACAUGCAAGUCGAGCGGUAACAGAGAGUAGCUUGCUACUUUGCUGACGAGCGGCGGACGGGUGAGUAAUGCUUGGGAAUAUGCCUUUGAGUGGGGGACAACAGUUGGAAACGACUGCUAAUACCGCAUAACGUCUACGGACCAAAGGGGGGGACGCUUCGGCACCUCUCGCUCAUAGAUUAGCCCAAGUGAGAUUAGCUAGUUGGUAAGGUAAAGGCUUACCAAGGCGACGAUCUCUAGCUGGUUUGAGAGGAUGAUCAGCCACACUGGGACUGAGACACGGCCCAGACUCCUACGGGAGGCAGCAGUGGGGAAUAUUGCACAAUGGGCGAAAGCCUGAUGCAGCCAUGCCGCGUGUGUGAAGAAGGCCUUCGGGUUGUAAAGCACUUUCAGUUGUGAGGAAAGGUAGGUAGUUAAUAACUGCUUACUAUGACGUUAGCAACAGAAGAAGCACCGGCUAACUCCGUGCCAGCAGCCGCGGUAAUACGGAGGGUGCGAGCGUUAAUCGGAAUUACUGGGCGUAAAGCGUGCGUAGGCGGUUUGUUAAGCAAGAUGUGAAAGCCCAGGGCUCAACCUUGGAACUGCAUUUUGAACUGGCAAACUAGAGUACUGUAGAGGGUGGUGGAAUUUCCAGUGUAGCGGUGAAAUGCGUAGAGAUUGGAAGGAACAUCAGUGGCGAAGGCGGCCACCUGGACAGAUACUGACGCUGAGGCACGAAAGCGUGGGGAGCAAACAGGAUUAGAUACCCUGGUAGUCCACGCCGUAAACGAUGUCAACUAGCUGUCUGUGGACUUGAUCCGUGGGUAGCGGAGCUAACGCAUUAAGUUGACCGCCUGGGGAGUACGGCCGCAAGGUUAAAACUCAAAUGAAUUGACGGGGGCCCGCACAAGCGGUGGAGCAUGUGGUUUAAUUCGAUGCAACGCGAAGAACCUUACCAUCCCUUGACAUCCACAGAAGAGACUAGAGAUAGACUUGUGCCUUCGGGAACUGUGAGACAGGUGCUGCAUGGCUGUCGUCAGCUCGUG
rnacentral:rRNA from 1 species